UACAGAGGGGGCAAGCGUUGUUCGGAAUUACUGGGCGUAAAGGGCGCGUAGGCGGCCUGUUAAGUCGAACGUGAAAUCCCCGGGCUCAACCCGGGAACUGCGUCCGAUACUGGCAGGCUUGAAUCCGGGAGAGGGAUGUGGAAUUCCAGGUGUAGCGGUGAAAUGCGUAGAUAUCUGGAGGAACACCGGUGGCGAAGGCGGCAUCCUGGACCGGUAUUGGCGCUGAGGCGCGAAAGCCAGGGGAGCAAACGGG
rnacentral:rRNA from 1 species